rnacentral:rRNA from 1 species
UACGAAGGGGGCUAGCGUUGUUCGGAAUUACUGGGCGUAAAGGGCGCGUAGGCGGGCGCACCAAGUCAGGCGUGAAAGCCCUGGGCUCAACCCGGGAAUUGCGCUUGAGACUGGUGUGCUCGAGUACGGGAGAGGAUAGUGGAAUUCCCAGUGUAGAGGUGAAAUUCGUAGAUAUUGGGAAAGACACCGGUGGCGAAGGCGGCUAUCUG